rnacentral:rRNA from 1 species
CGGCGGACGGGUGAGUAACGCGUGGGUAACCUACCCUGUACACACGGAUAACAUACCGAAAGGUAUGCUAAUACGGGAUAAUAUAUUUGAGAGGCAUCUCUUAAACAUCAAAGGUGAGCCAGUACAGGAUGGACCCGCGUCUGAUUAGCUAGUUGGUAAGGUAACGGCUUACCAAGGCGACGAUCAGUAGCCGACCUGAGAGGGUGAUCGGCCACAUUGGAACUGAGACACGGUCCAA